GUUCAGCGCCACGGCGUUUGGACAUCUACUAAAAUUGGAACGAUACAGAGAAGAUUAGCAUGACCCUUGCACAAGAGUGACAGGUAAAACGUGAAGCAUCAAUUUUUUUU